rnacentral:rRNA from 1 species
AACGCGAAGAACCUUACCUGGGCUCGAACGGCUCACGAAACUCCUUGGAAACAGGGAUUUCCCGCAAGGGACGGGAGUCGAGGUGCUGCAUGGCUGUCGUCAGCUCGUGUCGUGAGAUGUUGGGUUAAGUCCCGCAACGAGCGCAACCCUUGUCCUGUGUUGCCACUCCGUAAGGAAGCACUCGCAGGAGACCGCCAGCGAUAAGCUGGAGGAAGGUGGGGAUGAUGUCAAGUCAUCAUGGCCUUUAUGUCCAGGGCUACACACGUGCUACAAUGGGCGGUACAAAGCGCUGCAAACCCGCGAGGGGGAGCUAAUCGCAAAAAACCGUUCUCAGUUCGGAUCGCAGGCUGCAACUCGCCUGCGUGAAGCUGGAAUCGCUAGUAAUGGUGUAUCAGAAUGAUACCGUGAAUACGUUCCCGGGCCUUGUACACACCGGAGUGC